rnacentral:ncRNA from 1 species
UAUAUUUGCACCCGCUAUUCAUAUGAGUUGAGUGGCUACAUAAAAAUUAUUUAAUCAAAUAUUGGCAUG